rnacentral:rRNA from 1 species
UACGAAGGGGGCUAGCGUUGCUCGGAAUCACUGGGCGUAAAGCGCACGUAGGCGGCUUUCUAAGUCAGGGGUGAAAUCCUGGAGCUCAACUCCAGAACUGCCUUGAUACUGGAAAGCUUGAGUUCGGGAGAGGUGAGUGGAACUGCGAGUGUAGAGGUGAAUUCGUAGAUAUCGCAAGAACACCAGUGGCGAAGGCGGCUCACUGGCCCGAUACUGACGCUGAGGUGCGAAAGCGUGGGGAGCAACAGG